GACCAGGGAUGACUCCAGAAUGGAUCCUGACACACAAAAGCACCAAUGAUGGUGGCAAGUUGUUCCGUGGCUCGGAAAUUACUGAGCGUUUCACCCAUUCCAGGAACGACCCAAAGAACACAUUUACUCUCACCAUCAACAAUGUGGAACUGAAGGAUUCGGCCGUCUAUUACUGCUCGUUGUUUGCUAAUGCUAUGUUUCUGGGCAAUGGCACAGAGCUACACAUGAUUGACUGGAAACUGCAGGUGCCAUCACUGGAGUUAUUUCCACCUUCUCACCAAGAAUUGACUUCAGCAGAAAUGGUGACACUAACCUGUCUGGCCCAUGGCUUCUAUCCGGGUUUCUUGGACAUGAUUUGGAAAGUGGGAGAAAGUCAGACACAGAGUGGUGUGACGACAAGCUUCCCUAAACUUGAGAGUGACAACAGCUAUACCAUGAGCAGUUAUCUGAUGGUCCCAGUCAGUGACUGGAAAUCGAAGGAAGAGUACUCAUGUCUUUUCAAGUACAAGUCCCAGGACACGUUGGUUCAGAAAUCCAUCAGCUUGAACACGUGUCAUCUCUAAGGAAUGACAUUUCAUUUCCGCAAAAACACUCUAAUUGAAAAGCAGAGUGUGGCAGGUAUCUCGGCAAAUUAAAUAAAUGCAUCUGACUGGGGAGAAGCUUCAUUUUAUUGGCGAGCUAUUAGUGACAUCGUUGUGUUACUACAUGAAUAAACUGUUUUUUUGUGCAAUCGUAUAAGCAAUUAUUGAUUUAAAAUGCAAAUAUUUGUUUCUUCAUACAAAUAUAACUUCCAACUGGGUUUCAAAGGUCGCCUUCUGUUGGGUGUGACGUGGAUAAAUUGGAAAAAUAAACUUUCCAG